rnacentral:rRNA from 1 species
UACGUAGGGGGCAAGCGUUUGUCCGGAUUUAUUGGGCGUAAAGAGCGUGUAGGUGGCCAUGUAGGUCCGCUGUGAAACUCGAGGCUCAACCUCGAGCUGUCGGUGGAAACCACAUGGCUAGAGUCCGGAAGAGGAGAGUGGAAUUCCUGGUGUGAGCGGUGAAAUGACGCAGAUAUCAGGAAGAACACCAAUGGCGAAGGCAGCUCUCUGGGACGGUACUGAC